CAACAUUUUGGCUUUGAUACUCUGAUUGGUUAGAGAUGAUCCAAUCACUGAUGACUUUGUUUUGUACAACACCCCUCAUUUUGAUGUCACCACAAACGACUUUGCCGAAUGAAGUGUGUAGCAAACAGAGCAGAGGAAGAAUUCAGUUUGAGUUGUCAGGCCAUGGUUUUGAAGGUGAAUUCCUAGGAUUUUACAUGGUCUGUAUCCAGACCGCUCAUGUCCAAUCACAGGCUGAUCUUCUCUUCCUGACACAUGAGUCCAGCAUCAUCCCCACCACCCACCCACAUCUGACUGAGACCAGGGUUGUGAUUACGGGCACGAAAUGAAGGAAAAUGGUCCGAAACGGAGUGAUGCGGCAAGACACAACUGUGGGAUGCAUAUGAGUCAACAUGGACCAGCAUCCCUGUGGAACACUUUCGACACCCUGUUGAGUUCAUGCUGUGAUGAAUUGAGGCUGUUCAUCUCGAUAUUAGGAAGGCUGUUACGACUUCUGCCGAAGUCGGUCCCUCUCCUUGUCCGGGCGGCGCUCGGCGGUCAACGUCGACGGUCUUCUAGCCAUCGCCGAUCCACUUUUCAGUUUCCAUUGGUUUUGUCUUUGUUUCCCACACACCUGGUUUUCAAUUCCCAAUUACUGGUCAUGUAUUUCACCCUCUGUUUCCCCCAUGUCUUUGUGUGUGAUUGUUUAUGGUUCAGGUCGGUACGUUUCCGGUUGGUUUUGUCCGGGUGCUGUUUUCACCCGUGUUUUGUGGCAACCGUUAUUGUUCGCACAUUGGUACUGUUACUUGUGCUAUUUCUUAAGUAAAGUGCGUUGUUCACUCAUCUCUGUUCUCCUGCGCCUGACUUCAUGCACCAGCUACACCCACCGCCUGACACAGGCCAGUAAUAUGGAGUGAAUGCAAUAUUGUUGAUCCCUUUGUAUUUUCAAGUAUUGUGGUGGCAGCAUCAUGUUAUGGGUAUGCUUGUCACCGGCAGAGACUGGGG
ensembl:lncRNA